rnacentral:rRNA from 1 species
UACGGGGGGGGCAAGCGUUGUCCGGAAUUAUUGGGCGUAAAGAGCUCGUAGGCGGCUUGUCACGUCGGGUGUGAAAGCCCGGGGCUUAACCCCGGGUCUGCAUUUGAUACGGGCUAGCUAGAGUGUGGUAGGGGAGAUCGGAAUUCCUGGUGUAGCGGUGAAAUGCGCAGAUAUCAGGAGGAACACCGGUGGCGAAGGCGGAUCUCUGGGCCAUUACUGACGCUGAGGAGCGAAAGCGUGGGGAGCGAACAGG